UCCUAUCUCCAUUUCUAAAGUUGUGGGUGAGAGGUGUUUAUAGAAAAUGUUUUAUUUGCAGUGGUUAAAGGUAUGGAUAAAGGUUUGGGUUUCAGUGGUUAAAGGUAUGGAUAAAGGUUUGGGUUUAAGUGGUUAAAGGUAUGGAUAAAGGUUUGGGUUUCAGUGGUUAAAGGUAUGGAUAAAGGUUUGGGUUUCAGUGGUUAAAGGUAUGGAUAAAGGUUUGGGUUUCAGUGGUUAAAGGUAUGGAUAAAGGUUUGGGUUUCAGUGGUUAAAGGUAUGGAUAAAGGUUUGGGUGUCAGUGAUUAAAGGUAUGGAUAAAGGUUUGGGUUUCAGUGAUUAAAGGUAUGGAUAAAGGUUUGGGUGUCAGUGAUUAAAGGUAUGGAUAAAGGUUUGGGUUUCAGUGGUUAAAGGUAUGGAUAAAGGUUUGGGUGUCAGUGAUUAAAGGUAUGGAUAAAGGUUUGGGUUUCAGUGGUUAAAGGUAUGGAUAAAGGUUUGGGUUUCAGUGGUUAAAGGUAUGGAUAAAGGUUUGGGUGUCAGUGAUUAAAGGUAUGGAUAAAGGUUUGGGUUUCAGUGGUUAAAGGUAUGGAUAAAGGUU